AGUAGAAUGUAUUAGACAAAACAGAAAUUCUGCAGAUGCAAAGACAGAUGUUUUGCAUAUAUGGAAAUCCAACACAGCUAUCCACACCCUCAGAUUUGAUAAUCCCCUGUUCCCAUUUGGAAUAAGACAGAAUACCCAGAGAUAUGAUAACCUCGAGUAAGGUUAUAGGUAAGACUAUUUCUCCCUCAUAGUCAGUCCCAGUUUUACAGAAUGAAGUUGCUCUGAAAAAUUAAACCCACUGCUGAACUCUACAGACAGGAGAGGAUGAAAUGCUGUAAUAGGAUGGGAAACACCACAGUAAUAGCAGGGUGGCAAAGCCUUCAGCUACAGCAAAUGAGAACAAGCCCAAAUGCAGAGGACACGGAAAUGAAGGAAAAGAGCUGCUUACCUUUGGAAGGCCUCAGAUCAGCAGGGAUCUCCACUGCCAAUCCUUAAAUGAGGUCUGGGAAGGGAUGGAUCCUUGCUUCACCCCUCCUGUUACUCAGGUACACUGCAAGCACCUGAGCCCCCCCUGGGUUGGCCCUGCCUUCCCACCAGGUGCUCCAUCACUGGUUCAGGCCAUGACGCAGCACUUCGAUUACAGAGGAAUACCUUACUAACACUAAUAAGUUUCAACAUUUUCCUUCCUGUUUAUAACCAUCUGGAAAGAUGUUUCUCAUACCACCUUUGAUGUUAAAACAGCAAAAAUACUGCAUGAGAAGCACAUACUUGAAAUUCCUACUUACAGUUUAGCAGUACUAGUAGUAGUGCAGUAAUGCUCAAUAUAAUCAGGUGACAAUUAAAAACUAUAUCUGGUCUUAAGUGACUUUGGGACUAUCCAACUUGUUCCACAAAACAGAAUCAGAAAAUUGCUGCAAAGAAGGCUCAAAAGCCAAGACCUGGUUAACUUGCACCCAAAUGGCACAUAUAAAAUCAUGUUCCAUGAUAAUUAGUCUGUUCCCAUUUCACCAAGCUUUGUCUCUGCUACUGUUUUCUCACAGCUGUGAAACUUCUCCUUCCUCCAAAUGAAAGCUGAGUCUUUAAGAACACAACAAUAAUGAAACAUCGAAGGCAGCUGUGGAAAGCAAAAUUUUCCUUUUUCCAGUUGUCACAGGAAUGAAGACAAGACACAGAUUUUCACAUAAAAAAAAACCAACCACCUGUCUUACCUCAUUAUUGAAAAUAUGCACUCCAUUGCUUCAUCCACUUGCUUUACAAUGUGAAAUUGAACCAGUUGGUGAUUUGAAUGAUUACUGAAAUAUCUUCAAGAAAAAUGCCAUUUCAGGCCAUGAUGUGUUUUUUUACCUGGCUCCUUCCACUCCUGACCAGAACACAUUCUCAUUCUAAUCCAUUUGGAGGAUGACACGUUUGUAUUGGUGUCAACAGAGAAAUCUCUACUUCCACAGAAAAAUAAUGCCUAUCUGCUUUGCUGACAAACACAACAUGCUGUAGAUAUUUGACAGUUCUGCAGAGGCCCAAUCUGUGUAAGAAUAGAUUUUAUGGGCCACAGAACAAAGAUAUCAAUCUGUUGGUCAUCUGCUGAGAGAUCAUUUCCAGUCUUCCUCAAGACAUUCAAGAGAUAAACAUUCAGAUAUUGAUUUCUAAAGAUCACCAAUGAAAAUACUCAUCAAAUCAGCACAUGUUACACAGACUCACUUGGGGGAAAAGUAACAAGAAUGCACUCCUUUAGAUCUUGGGGUAUGUGUUCGUUUUCACAUCCUCCUUUCAGUAGGCAUCUGCAGCAAUUCUUGCAAACAUAACAUCAAGACAAAGAAGCAAAGCCCAACACCACUCAGGUUAACAUAAACUGCCUUCAUACUACAAAAGGUACCCAGGAGAUCUUGGGGCUAUGAAAGCUAUGCCAUGGUACACUACUACUACCACAAAACAAAACACACUCUUCAGUUCAACAGCUUGUAUUUGAAAAGCAGAUCUUUCACAGGAAUACAACAGUCAUUACCAAAAGUUAAGCUACCUUCACACAAUUCCAUACAUUCAAACAUUACAUUAAAAAAAGAAAAAAAAGAAGUGACGAUGGGGAAGGAGAUAAUUCUUCCUCCCUAGAAUAAAGUGAAACCAGCAGCAAGAGUUUGCUAUGCAGAAAGCUACAAUGAAUUUCAUUGUCUUUCUAGAUCGUUUACUGCAAACAAGCUGAAUAUAUAGGACAAUACCACUCAAAGGAUUUUAAGAAGUGUUUAAAUGGAACUCAGGUAUGUAGAUUGAGUUUAUCAAGGUUUUCAAGAGAAAAAUGCAUUUCAUUUCAAACCAUCCCUUUUAAAGAAGAAAUUGAAAGAGAAUACUACCCUAAAAAUCAAAUCACAAUGCUUACUGCUUAUGAAAGAAGAACAUUAAGGUAAUACCCACUCAUGCAACAACUUACAAGUGUGUGCAUGAACAUACCCACCCAGACUGCUGUACAGGCACAGGGGACUGCAGGAAAAGUCCAGAAGUGACAGCAUACCUUCCCUGACUACACAGGCCAGAGAUCCCACUACAUCAUGAGCAGAGAUUUGUCUGCUUUCCAAGACAGCUAGGAGCUAUGUCUGUGCUUGAUACAGCAUGCAACACAGACUAAUAAACCCUAAUGAGUCAAAGGCAUUGGCUCACCUCUCAGGCAAUGAUGAACUUGUAGCUUUUGCUUGUUCAUCCAAAGAACAGAAGCUUGUUUCCAAGUCAGGAGUGAGCAAGAUCAAAAUCAAGAUAUGACAAAAUUUGUAAUUCUAACAUUUAACAGAAACACUGGUCUUUUGACAGAAUGUAGAGGCAGGGCUGGAUAUCUGCCCGUUUUGCAGCAAUUCACCUGGCUCCUCAGCAGCAGGGAGCUGGAAGUGAGGAUGUGCUGGUUUCCUGCCACCUGAGCUCCAGCCUGCCUCUCCCAGGACAGAGUCUAGCUCGCCAAAGAGCACCAGGAGCCCACAAAGCUGCCACAGGAAGAUGAUCUAAUCCUAUUAGUUUCAUUAGCAUCCCCACUGAUCAACAGCAGCAGAACUGUCAGACCCCUUCAGCUUCACGCAGCAGCCGGCAGGAAUUCUGGAGAGCACAUGGAGUUUCUUCAGCUAAACACUGUAUGAUUUUAACUGUACAGUCAGAGGAAGAGGGGGCAUUUUUUAGCCCAGUUUAGAGUUUUCCUUGUUUGGGGAUGAAAACUUGUUAAAACCAAAUAUAUAUACUCACUGCAGCUCUACCAGAACCACCUGAAUCACUCCUAUUUGGAUGCUUCAAUUUCUGGCAUUUCCAACAAGGAAUGGGGAACUAGCCAUGAGCUAUACAUUCAGAUCUACAUUCAGGGUUUUACCAACAAACAUUUCAGCCAAAGGAAAAGCCUUCCUGUGGUGAAAAGGCUUCUCACUGAAACAGUGGUUAGAUCCCAUCCGGUGAAGUUCAAGAACUGUUUCUCAAACAGACCAGCCCCCUGCACUGGAUGAGCCACAGGGACCCAGCUGAAACUCAUUACAAAGCUACCUGCACACUGCACAAGGUACUCACUCUGAGACAAUAGGACACUCUCUUGUAUGCAGCAUUUAACAUUAUACAGUCCUGCUCCGGACUGAUUUUGCAGUAAAAGCAGAUGGUAUAGACAAGAAGACCUCAAAAUAUAGUAAUUUAAUAAUCCAAGUAUUUUAGAGAAGAAAGCUUCCUUCAUUUUUAUAAACUUCAGGCCUCUGCAGGACUGAAAGAGUAUAUUAUGGAACCAAUGUAAGAGAUAAGAAUUAAAAUCUGAUUUUACCAUAGCUAUGCCUGUGUCUGCAUGUGUGAAUAGCAUCUUCUACAUCUUUCAUGAAACACAGGUUUAUCUGAGUGUGUUCUAAAGUACUGAAUGAGCACUGCAUGUUGGCCUGCUCACUUGCACAUUGAGCCUCAGCCCAACAGAAGCUCUUGGGAAAAGAAUACAACAAAAAACUACUUGAAGACUAUCCAUCUCACAGCCAAAACAGACAUGACCAAGGGGCAGUUACUUCCAAUGGUGCCAAAUAAAAGCUCAGAUGUCAGGUCAAAGGCCUGUGUUGAUUAAGAUACCAACAUUUGUUCCACCCAGUUGGAACAAAAUGCUACCUCAACAGAGUUAUUCAUACACUGAAAGCUAAUCCAUCUCACCUGCUGUGACUCCUCUAGAGCGUAACCUCAAAUGACUCCUGUCUCUAGCUCUCACUCUGCCCAUUUCCUGACAGAUCCAACAAACCAACAGGGAUGAUUCUCCCAAUACCUCCAAACUGCCCGCUAUCAAAACUGAAGUGUGUAGCAAAAUACAUGGCUUGACGUUUCCUACAGCAGUCAGGUUUCAACUAUGGGAAGAGUUAGACUGAGAUAACUGAGCAUUAAAAACAUCACAUGCAAGUUAUCUACAGAGAGAUCCAUGAGUUUUCAGAAUCAUGCAUUAGGAGCUGCACAUCUUGCCUCUGCAGGACUUGGUGGUGAUGCCACCAAGCUGCUGCCAGCAAGGAUCCAAGCUACAUCCGAGCCCAUUUCAGAGCCCUUCACCACAAUGGCCUGGCAAAGGCCAGCCAUUACCACUGCCCACUGUGGUGACAAUGUGAUUUCCAUUUAUUUUGACAACAAGGACUCUCUGCUAGCACUGUCAACAAAUACAGCACAGUCUUUAUUUUUUCAUGCAUGAACUAAAAAAAAAAACAUAAACAUUUCUGUGACAGCAGGCCUGCAAAGUAGACUUAGCUACUGCAAAGAAGCUAAGUAGUUCUACCCUUCCACGUUCUUUCCUCUACAAAAAAUACAUAUUUUGAUAAAGUAUCUCUGCAAGGGAGAAAACACAGUUUCCAGAAAUAUUAUUCUUGUGUUUUCAAAAGAAUCAUUACAAAUGAACAAAAAAGAACUUUAGCACCUCUAGUUAUAAUCCUCCAUACCAACCUUUAUUAAAAGAUGCUAGGGCUUCUUUCCCUCCACCAUACACAACAUCCCAAGGACCUCACAGCCCUCCAACGCGCCCCCUGCAGUCCCAGUGCGGCCGCCCAGAGGACGCCAGGCCCUCUCCUCCACACCCCUCUGCUUUGGCAUCAGGGCAGAAGAGAUGCCACCUUCUCACGCUCCAGGGCCAGAGCUGAGGGAUGGCAAAGGACAGCCGACACGACCACACAAACUCCACUGCUUUUAAUGACUGCCUCUCCCUCGGCUGCCUGUGGGGCAUCACCAUGCUUUGCUCCUCCUCCACCCCAGGCAGCUGCAGGGGGCCUGAGAAGCCUCUGCCCCACCGACCCUCUUGCUACAUUCGUGCCACUGCCUCCCAGAAAUGGCCGCAGGCCCCAACUGCCAGCCGCCAUGUUUGGGCCAGCACCUGCUGCUCAGAAUCCUGUUGCCAUGGGCACCCAACUGCCCUCAACUGCAGUCCCUGAGCUGACACAGCAGGAGACUGCGGCACUUUGCAGUAUCGCAAAGAGCUACUUUGUAUUUCUUUUGAUUUCUGAGGACGGGAUGGAGCAGCCACCCUUAAAGAAGAGGCGGCUGCUGGAAGAGGCUGAUGACAUCGAGCCCAUGGAGGUGGACCCGCCUGGCAGCCAAGAAGAGCCCAUGGAGGUGGAUCCACCUGUGGCAGAUGAGCUGAUGGAAGUGGAUCCACCUCCAUCGGGGCACACUGGCCAUCUCGCUGCUGCUGCCAGGCCAACCAGGAAGAGGUCGCGCCCCAAAUGCCAUCGCAGGGGCGCCAGGAUCCGUCCACCUCCCGCCAAACGGCCGCCUCGACGCCGGCGCUGAUCCUCCCGUCCUCCAAGGCUCCUACGAGCCCUUCCUUCCCCACCCCCUCCCUCGUCCCUUCCCAAGUCCUCUCAUCUCUUCUUCACCAAGUCCUGAGGAAGAGGGCAGGGCAGGGACUGCCAUCCUCGGAGCUGCUGUGCCGGGGCAGCGGGACGAGUCUGACAGAGGGACCUCACACAUCUCAGGGGUGCAAGGAUCCUAAUAAGACUCCCAUGAGCCCAUCCUUCACGUCUUCCUCCCUCAUCCCUGCCCAAGGCAGGAGAAGAAGCCAAAGAAGGGACAGAGCUGCUGCUUCUGGGGGGAACCACACUUCAAUUUGGACAUGAAGAAGUGCUGAAAUACAGCAAGAAGAUCCAAUCCAGAUGCUUCACUUCCACUUCUCUUUCAACACGGGACCAUCACCAUCUUAAAAUAACAAUUGAAAAUAAUAAAAAAGUAAAAAGCACACAACUAAAUAAACCAUCUUCCAUUUUUGAAAACACAACCACUGACUGUCUCUCUGCUUCAGGAAGCUUCGAGUUUGCACGCAGGUUCCCGCGCCCCCUCCUUGCCUCCCGCACA